rnacentral:ribozyme from 1 species
AUGAGAUGAGCCCUGGAACGGGAUGGGAUCCGAAGCCUCCGGAAGAUUCCAUCCAACCCCUAUUCCGAUACGUCCACGUCGCGCAGGGUGGUAACAUGGGCCUAAUUCCAACCGCCAAGGUAUAGCUUAACUACGAAAA